rnacentral:rRNA from 1 species
UUCGCAAUGCCCGAAAGGGUGACGAAGCGACGCCGCGUGGGUGAGGAAGGCCCUCGGGUUGUAAAGCCCUGUCAGGAGUUAAGAAAUGUAAGUGCGCUAAUAUCGCAUUUAUUUGACGAAGGCUCCAAAGGAAGCCACGGCUAACUCUGUGCCAGCAGCCGCGGUAAUACAGAGGUGGCAAGCGUUGUUCGGAAUUAUAGGGCGUAAAGAGCACGUAGGUGGGUUUGUAAGUCAGAUGUGAAAGCCUUCUGUUCAACGGAAGAAUUGCAUCUGAAACUACAAGUCUUGAGUGUAGGAGGGGAGAAUGGAACUUCUGGUGGAGCGGUGAAAUGCGUAGAUAUCAGAAGGAACGCCGGCGGCGAAAGCGAUUCUCUGGCCUAUUACUGACACUCAGUGUGCGAAAGCUAGGGGAGCAAACGGGAUUAGAUACCCCGGUAGUCCUAGCCGUAAACGAUGGGCACUAAGUAGAGGGGUUUU